AGUGAGCGCUGGCGGUAGGCCUAACACAUGCAAGUCGAACGGCAGCACGGUAAGAGCUUGCUCUUACGGGUGGCGAGUGGCGGACGGGUGAGGAAUACAUCGGAAUCUACUUUUUCGUGGGGGAUAACGUAGGGAAGCUUACGCUAAUACCGCAUACGACCUACGGGUGAAAGCAGGGGAUCUUCGGACCUUGCGCGAUUGAAUGAGCCGAUGUCGGAUUAGCUAGUUGGCGGGGUAAAGGCCCACCAAGGCGACGAUCCGUAGCUGGUCUGAGAGGAUGAUCAGCCACACUGGAACUGAGACACGGUCCAGACUCCUACGGGAGGCAGCAGUGGGGAAUAUUGGACAAUGGGCGCAAGCCUGAUCCAGCCAUACCGCGUGGGUGAAGAAGGCCUUCGGGUUGUAAAGCCCUUUUGUUGGGAAAGAAAAGCAGCAGGUUAAUACCCCGCUGUUCUGACGGUACCCAAAGAAUAAGCACCGGCUAACUUCGUG
rnacentral:rRNA from 1 species